rnacentral:rRNA from 1 species
UUAUUGGGCGUAAAGCGCGCGUAGGCGGUUUUUUAAGUCUGAUGUGAAAGCCCACGGCUCAACCGUGGAGGGUCAUUGGAAACUGGAAAACUUGAGUGCAGAAGAGGAAAGUGGAAUUCCAUGUGUAGCGGUGAAAUGCGCAGAGAUAUGGAGGAACACCAGUGGCGAAGGCGGCCUCCUGGACUGACAUUGACGCUGAGGUGCGAAAGCGUGGGGAGCAAAC